rnacentral:tRNA from 1 species
GGAGGGGUGGCCGAGUGGUUGAAGGCGACGGUCUUGAAAAUCGUUGUAGGGAAACCUACCGUGAGUUCGAAUCUCACCCCCUCCGCCA